rnacentral:rRNA from 1 species
CGGCGGACGGGUGAGUAACGCGUGGGUAACCUGCCUUACACAGGGGGAUAACAGUUAGAAAUGACUGCUAAUACCGCAUAACCCGCUAGGGCCGCAUGGCCCGGACGGAAAAGAUUUUAUCGGUGUAAGAUGGACCCGCGUCUGAUUAGCUGGUUGGUGAGGUAACGGCUCACCAAGGCGACGAUCAGUAGCCGACCUGAGAGGGUGAUCGGCCACAUUGGGACUGAGACACGGCCCAAACUCCUACGGAAGGCAGCAG